GAGAAAUGUUUCUGCGCUUUUAUCAAGAUCAUUAAACAUGACGUGGGAAGAAGUAUUUCAGUGUUUCUUUCUUCCUUCCUUUCUUUCUUCCUUUCUUUUUUUCAGGCAACAACUCCAGCUUCUUUCGGUAUCGGCGUAGUUCUCAAGGCCUGUUUUUGAAGCGCGGAGGCACAGACUGUGGAUGCGACGAGGUUCUAUUAAAUAUGUUUCACUCAACGAUGCGGCCAUGGAAGAACGAGAAAUGGAGAGAGAGAGAGCGGAUGUGGCGAAUGGGAGAUUAGAUGUUCUUUGCGUAGAAGAAAUGAAAUAUGAAAUAUGAAUAUGAAAUAAAGAUUGUUGCAAGUUAGCGCCUGUGUGUGUCACGUCUCUCUUUCGUCCUUGUCCUUUUCACGCGCUAUAAUCAUCACAAAGAAAACAAGAUGGAGAACUACAGGGAUAAUUUUAAAUGUGCAACAGCAAUGGAAAAUAAAUAAAUGAUAGAAACGAUCUUGUCAACACCAACGACUAGCUUGUAGCUGUGAACCGUUAGGAAUACGAGUGCUCGAUGAAUAAAGUUUCCGAGCUGGAAAUAAAUAAUUGGCGGAAAUCUGGCCUCAAAUAUUGGAUAGAUUACUAAUUGUAAGAGAAGAGCUAGAACACGUCACAUAAGCGAUGCGAACAGAGUGAGCUCCACUAAA